rnacentral:tRNA from 1 species
GGUUCCAUAGCUCAGUGGAAGAGCGUUCCGCUCACACCGGAAAGGUCGCUGGUUCGAACCCAGUUGGAACCACAA